rnacentral:rRNA from 1 species
GACGAACGCUGGCGGCGUGCUUAACACAUGCAAGUCGAACGGAAAGGCCCUGCUUGCAGGGUGCUCGAGUGGCGAACGGGUGAGUAACACGUGGGUGAUCUGCCCCUUACUUUGGGAUAAGCCUGGGAAACUGGGUCUAAUACUGGAUAGGACCAUGCUGUAGGUGGUGUGGUGGAAAGAUUAGUUUCGGUAAGGGAUGAGCUCGCGGCCUAUCAGCUUGUUGGUGGGGUAAUGGCCUACCAAGGCGUCGACGGGUAGCCGGCCUGAGAGGGUGGACGGCAACAUUGGGACUGAGACACGGCCCAGACGCCUACGGGAGGCAGCAGUGGGGAAUAUUGCACAAUGGGCGCAAGCCGGAUGCAGCGACGCCGCGUGGGGGAUGACGGCCUUCGGGUUGUAAACUCCUUUCAGCCAUGACGAAGCCCUUGUGGUGACGGUAGUGGUAGAAGAAGCACCGGCUAACUACGUG